UACGAAGGGGGCUAGCGUUGCUCGGAAUCACUGGGCGUAAAGGGUGCGUAGGCGGGUCUUUAAGUCAGGGGUGAAAUCCUGGAGCUCAACUCUGGAACUGCCUUUGAUACUGUCGAUCUAGAGUAUGGAAGAGGUGAGUGGAAUUCCGAGUGUAGAGGUGAAAUUCGUAGAUAUUCGGAGGAACACCAGUGGCGAAGGCGGCUCACUGGUCCAUUACUGACGCUGAGGUGCGAAAGCGUGGGGAGCAAACAGG
rnacentral:rRNA from 1 species